AUUCGAAUUGGUUGACUGAGUAAAGAUCAACCUCACCAGUGUGUGUGGGCUUCAUGCAAUCCCCUGAAGGCCUGAAUAGAACAAAAGGCAGAGGAAAGACUUCGCCCUGUCAAGGCUGGUCUCACCUAUCUUCUCUCGCCGACGCCAUUCAUCCUGAGGGUACCCCUGGAUCCUGCCGAAGCUGGACCCUGGCACUUUCUCAAUCUUGAACGAAUCAGUUGUUCCUUACAGGGUUCCAACUGUUGCUUCUUGACCCGCAUACAGGUUUCUCAGGAGACAGCCAGGCUUCAGCAAUAAGUGAACUGAGAACUUCCAGAUGUUCAAACUGGUUUUAGAAAAGGCAGAAGAGCCAGAGAUCAAAUUGCCAAUAUCCGCUGGAUCAUCGAAAAAGCAAGAGAGUUCCAGAAAAACAUCUAUUUCUGCUUUAUUGACUAUGCCAAAGCCUUUGACUGUGUGGAUCACAAUAAACUGUGGAAAAUUCUGAAAGAGAUGGGAAUACCAGACCUCCUGACCUGCCUCUUGAGAAACCUGUAUGCAGGUCAGGAAGCAACAGUUAGAACUGGACAUGGAACAACAGACUGGUUCCAAAUAGGAAAAGGAGUACAUCAAGGCUGUAUACCGUCACCCUGCUUAUUUAACUUAUAUGCAGAGUACAUCAUGAGAAACGCUGGGCUGGAAGAAGCACAAGCUGAAAUCAAGAUUGCCAGGAGAAGUAUCAAUAACCUCAGAUAUGCAGAUAACACCACCCUUAUGGCAGAAAGUGAAGAGGAACUAAAAAGCCUCUUGAUGAAAGAGGAGAGUGAAAAAGUUGGCUUAAAGCUUAACAUUCAGAAAACUAAGAUCAUUGCUGGGAGCCGGCACAUGAGAUCCCACCCAUGACAAGGUCAUGAGGAGAAAACCUGACAAGCAAGGCAGAUCAGGUUUUCAGGGAUUCUGAAAAGCUGCCCCCGGCGCUCACCUUAAAGAUGAUAUCUGUCUUUCUGAUGCUUGCUUCAAUAGACUACUCCCUAAUUUCUGUGACACAGGCAGAAGGCCUUCCCUGAUCUCUUUCCAAAUAAGAAUCAAUUUAGAACUUUAAUCAAUAAGUUUCCCAGGUGGUGGUAUUUUAUGAGAUUAUCUAGGGUGAAAGGAGUGUUUUAAUUUAAACUUCUUUGCUGGUAUUUUAGUUUGUUUGGCAAAUGCAUUUAUGUCCUUGGUACUAAUAUGCAUGACUGCUCAUAAUACCCUAAUCAUAAAACAGCAUAAAGAACCUGAUCAUAUAAAGGCCCUAAUAGACAUAGAGCCUUUUUGGUGGGUGAAGGAGUCCUAUUAGAAAACAUAAGAAAAAUUAUUCUAUAGGUGGUUAUUGGGUUGAUGUUUGCUUGCUGUGUUUUGCUUGCUGUGUUUUUACUCUUAAUGUGCUAAGGUUGUGCAAUGGAAACCAUUGUUAAUAUAGUUAUAGAUCUAGAAAAAUAAGAGCUUAGCCCUAGUGUGGUAACAAUGAGACGGUUGUUAACUGUUAGCCAGGUGUGCUAGGCAGAGGCUACCUCACUGAAGCCGCACAGUCUGUGUGGGGUAAACUUCUUAGAUAAACGCAACUAACAACUUCUGCAGAAGGAUUAAUUUUUGUGUUAACAAGGUUAUGCUUCUACUCUGUACUGUUGCCCUAUGAGACUGCUACCUUUCAGUUAAGGUCACCAGAGAAACAGAAAAUAGGUUUACAUUCACCUGACUUGCAUAAAAUGUUAAUAGGCCCCAAGGCCAGAAGAUAAUGUACAAGACCCUCAUAAACAAAGAAGUAUGCAGAAAACACCCUGGUUUCGUGAAGAACAAGCUGAUGUAAUGUUAAACUAUCUUCCCCUUAGAAAUGUACUAAUUUAGGGUAUAAAAGCCAUGGUAAAAAAUAAAGCAUUGCCAGACCCUGCCAGACUCUGCUGCAUCCCCCAUCUGGUCUCUCCCUCUCCCUCUCCCUCUCCCUUUCCCUCUCCCUCUCCCUCGCCGUCCAUCCUGAGACUUGGCCAUAUCAAGGCUGGUCUCACGUGUCUUCUCUCACCGAUGCCAUUCAUCCCGAGGGUACCCCCUGGAUCCUGCCGAGGCUGGAUCCCGGCAGAUCAUGGCAUCUGGUCCCAUCACUUCAUGGGAAAUAAGGAGACAGUGGAAACAGUGUCAGACUUUAUUUUUUUGGGCUCCAAAAUCACUGCAGAUGGUGACUGCAGCCAUGAAAUUAAAAGAUGCUUACUCCUUGGAAGGAAAGUUAUGACCAACCUAGAUGGCAUAUUAAAAAGCAGAGACAUUACAUUGCCAACAAAGGUCCGUCUGGUCAAGGCUAUGGUUUUUCCAGUGGUCAUGUAUGGAUGUGAGAGUUCGACUAUGAAGAUAGCUGAGCGCCGAAAAAUUGAUGCUUUUGAACUGUGGUGUUGGAGAAGACUCUUGAGAGUCCCUUGGACUGCAAGGAGAUCCAACCAGUCCAUCCUAAAGGAGAUCAGUCCUGGGUGUUCAUUGGAAGGACUGAUGCUGAAGCUGAAACUCCAAUACUUUGGCUGCCUCAUUCGAAGAGUUGACUCAUUGGAAAAGACCCUGAUGCUGGGAGGGAUUGGGGGCAGGAGGAGAAGGGGACGACAGAGGAUUAGAUGGUUGGAUGGCAUCAUUGACUCAAAGGACAUGAGUUUGAGUAAACUCCGAGAGCUGGUGAUGGACAGGAAGGCAUGGCAUGCUGCGGUCCAUGGGGUUGCAAAGAGUCAGACACAACUGAGCGACUGAGCUGAACUGAACUGAUGCUAAAGCUGAAACUCCAAUCCUUUGACCACCUGAUGUGAAGAACUGACUCAUUUGAAAAGACCCUGAUGCUGGAAAGGAUUGAAGGUGGGAGGAGAAGGGGGUGACAGAGGAUGAGAUGGUUGGAUGGCAUCACUGACUUGAUGGACAUGAGUUUCAGCAAGCUCCGGGAGCUGGUGAUGGACAAGGAAGCCCGGAGUGCUGCAGUCCAUGGGGUCGCAAAGAGUCAGACACGACUGAGCGACUGAACUGAACUGAACUGAAAGUUUGGACUCUGUCCCUUUAUUAAUAUGACGUACUCUUAGCUUGAAGCUUCCCCAGUUUUGCUAUUCAGGAAGCCACUCAUUUGGGAAAGAUUUCCAGUGCUCUCCUUACUUGCUGCCAAGUACCCAGUCCUCCCUUCUCUGGCUCUUUGACUUGAUUGUGCCUUGGUUCCACACUCACCAAGAGACAAGCACUGUUUUUCAGAUAACAGCAUGGUGACUAUGCAUCCUGAUUUUCCUAAGACUGUCUCAGUUCUUUUGUCCUGACAUCCCAUGCAGCUAGCAGUCCCCUUUACUCUCAUAUGUGCCCUGGUUUGAACUAAAAAUCAUCUGGCUAUAUUAUCCCACCCAGCUGGGUCUUGAACAGAUAACAUCUGAGUUCCAUGAGCACCGCUCUGUUUACCAGGUUUUGUUAAUCCCAGGCUCCCCAGUCACUGUCUCUCCCACCGCCAUUCCUUUGCCAAGGCCACUGAGUGGACUCCAGUCCAACGAUUUGUAGAAACAAAAGUUCUUUUUAAAAUCUGCUUCAUUGCCCACUGGUUGAUAAAGGCUAGUUACAAAAGCUAUGAAGAGAUAAUUAGCAAAAUGAAAACAGAAAUGUGAAAAUAAGACUUGGCAUUUAGUCAUUUAAUGUCCCUAAAAGAAUAAUGAGUGUGGUUGGUUGAAUGUUUAUAAUAAGCAGGGGAGGAGCUGUGCAUUGGUGUCAAUGUUUAACAUUUCACUCAGGGCAAACUGUACUAAACUAAGGCCUUUGGAUUUUAAAAGCUCACUGAAUCCUUUAAGAUGACAAAAAUUAGAAAUUUCCUGGUUGUUCAGUGAUUAAGACUCUGCUUUCACUGCUGAGGGUUUGGGUUCAGUCUCUAAUCAGAGAAGUAAAAUCCUACAAGCUGCGCAAUAGGAAAAAAAAAAUGUGUAAAUGAACUGUUUACAGACCCCUUCAAGAUUAGUUCCCUUUAACAGUACUUGGAGCAGAAAGUCAGCUAAUUCAGUUAAUUAAUUCCUCCUUUCUUAAGCUGAACCCUACAGAGAGGCUUUAAACAAGAAACUGGCUGCAUAGUUUAUGUUAGUACAAACCAGCAGGUGGCAAGCCACUGCUCUUUGGAAGAAGGCAUUUGGCCACUUUGAGACUAUUGAGAUGCAAUAGGGUCUGGAUUUGAGAAAAAGGAAAUGCUGAAGGAAGAAAUAAAUUAGUCACCAUGUGAUUCCUUUGUGUUCCUUGGGUUCUCCAGUCCAACCAAGCCCUUGGCCAACCUCCCUCUCCAAAUUGUCCUCUCUACUGUGACCCUUGAGUUAGCAAGGAUCCUUUAAAUCAGCGUCAAACCACCCCUACUCCCAAAACUUUGCAUAAAUCAUUCAAUGAGAAAUUCUUCACUGCAGGAGAUGAAACUCUCUUGAGUUCAGCUUUAAUCAUGUAUCAUUGUUGAAACUGUAAGACACAGCCUGGUCCAUUCUCCUCAAGUCUGCCAAGGAAGAUCAUAGAGGUGGUAUGCCCAUUCUAUUGAUGAGCUAUCUCAGUCUUUAUGGAAGAGAUGAGUAUCAGAGUUGGGAUGCUCUGAAACGUCAUUUGUGUGUCCCUGUUUGGACCCUGGGACAUGUUUUCUCCUUGUUUAAAUGUUGACUCAGUUCUCGGGCCCAUUAAAAACCCAUGUCACUGUUAAUAUUGCAGGAGAGCAAAAUCUGCCACCCCGAUAUGUGUCUCUUUAGUGUGAGGAUUAUUUUAGGCUGGUUAUUUUUAAGCAACAGAAAGCUCAAGAAGUCCAUUCUUGUACCUCCCUGUUAGCUGUCUAAAUUAAUUUAGAUAAAGUUGGUCUAGGAAGAGUACUAUCAUUAGAGAUAUCUGCAAAGAAUGUGGGCCAGGUCUGGUGGGAAAUCUUGGAGGACUUACAGAAAAAAAUUCUCCCUGUAUCCAUUCUCUGCAUGGCAGAGCAGUCCUUUGUUUACCAAACAUUUGUUUUUCCAGCUCUAUGUUAAUUGCCUUCCUCACCUUUGAAGUCCCCAAAUCUUACCCACUGCUUCUUUCAGAUGGUGUCAAUCAAAAACUAAUGCAGGAGGCUGCAAAUAAGAAAAGAGUUUAUUUAGGGUCUGAAGGAUUGCAAUUCAGGAAACACAGAUCCAGGUAACCCCCCAAAUGUUACCGAGUGAGUCCAAGCUUGUACUGCUGGCCCAACAACACGCCAGUCAACUGAGAGACUAGCUAGUAGGGUGAGGAAUAGCGACGUUAUCAAGAAAAGCAACAGACCGAGAAGAUGGCAAAACUAGACGGUCUUCUGGGAUGUCAGUUUGGAUGCCCAGGUUUGGAUGCUAGCUUCUUUUAUGGAACAAAGAGUGGAAGACAGGAGGUAAAGUAAAAAGGCAAUAAGUUGCUGGAAAUGUUUCCAGCCAGACUCAGGAAAGGAUGUGUUAAAUUCUUCUUUCUUUCAGCCAUCCACACAGGCCUGGUUAGGAUGUUUUCUGUAAACUAAAUGAAAGUAUUUUAUUUAACUUAAACUCAGGCAUGGGGGGCAGGAUUCUUGUAGAUGGAGCAUUUAUGUAUACUUUAAGCUAUAGGCAACAUCCCUUUAGUGACUGACUUGUAGCAAAAACAAUAGAAUAGAAAGGUAAAGUAAAAGUAAAAGGUUAAAGUAAAAGAGAUCUAUAUUGGAUUUCACAGAUCCAAUAUAGAGUCAGAUUUGUUCUUCCCUAUCACAAAAAAAGAGUCGGGAAGAGAAUGAGCAUGGGGCUUAAAAAGACAAAAAGCCACGAGGCUGUUAAAUUUGCCUGGUGAGAAUUACAAUUCAGAAAAUAUCUAUCCUUCAGUAAUCACAAGUCGUUUAACGGUAGGGGUCAGAUAAGUAAAUAGACUGUCACAGUUAUUUUAGGAUAAGGGUCUCAUAGGUAUCUUGAGUUUCUGGGAGACAUUCUGGAUACUUUCGUUGGGAUAAUAAGUGGUCAAAAGUUCAGAUUCCUCCCAGACCGAGACCUGUGCACAGGUCGAACUGCAGUAGCUCCCUGCUCGGUUGUAGAGAGCUCUUAAUGAUACCAACUCCACUCUGAUUUUCUCUUCACUAUGGCAUAUAGACCUCAAUUGCCUAACAUGUCCUUGGUCUCAUUUUUUUGUGUGUGGAGGCCCUCAUAUAUGUGUGAUGGAAUUUUAUGUUCUCCUGUUAUUCUAUCUUGUGGCAAUUCUUAGACCAGCCAGAAGAACCUAGAAAGGGUGGAAGGAAAUUUUUUUCUCUCCCCAACACAGUCCUUGAAGCUGCCCAGGCCCCUAAAACUUGAGUGUUGGGCCUGACCCUAGUUCCAAAGCCUUUCUGAAAGCUAAGCCUUGAGGUCUUAGGGAACUUCAAAUGAGCCAGGGUGUAGGAAAGGAGAAGGAGGCUGAUGGAGGAGCCAAGAUUGGGGCAUCAAUAGGAGGCUUAGGGGAAGACUAGAAGAGAAGAGGUCAAUUGGGGCACUUUGGCCACUAUGGAUGGCGGGUACAAUGAAGGGGAGUUCUCAAGGAUGGGAAGAAUCCAGUGAUGAGGCCACAGGAAACCAGUGAUGGAGAAGGAACAAAGGUUAUUCUAUUACAAGUUAUUCCUUCAUAAAUUAGGUGAUCUGAGAAGUUAUGAAAUGCCUACAUAAAAUUGGCAUAGUGUUUUGUGGGGGAGGGGGGGUGUCUCUUUUUUACAGCAAAAGAGAUGACAGGAACUUUCCUACUCUCCUGGGCUUCCCUGGUGUCUCAGAUGGUAAAACGUCUGUCUAUAAUGCAGGAGACCUGGGUUCGAUCCCUGGGUUGGGAAGAUCCCCUGGAGAAGGAAAUGGCAGCCCACUCCAGUAUUCUUGCCUGGAAAAUCCCAUGGACGGCGGAGCCUGGUAGGCUAUGCUGUCCAUGGGGUCGCAAAGAGUUGGACACAACUGAGCGACUUCACUUUCCUACUCUCCUCCAGAUAAAUCACUGGAUUAUAUCAGUGUAUCAUCUGAAUGCAGCAUUUUCACAUGAUAGCUAUGGGUCCCCAGAAUGUCUGAUGCCAGAUCCCAGGUUUUCACAGGUUGGACUUGCCCCCAGGAGGUGCCUGGAUCUGUGAGCUGAAAGCACUGAGCAUUGCCCUCUUAGAAGCCCAGGUGUGGGGCUUCCUGGCUCAGCUGGGCUCUGCCUCCAGGACUCUUUGCCAUCUUAGUUGAGAUCUGGAACACACUGACGUCUUGUCAGUGGGAGACCAGCAUGACCUCUUGGACUUUCUAAGACCCAUUUUUAACCCUGAUGUCCUGGACAGUGAAAAGCCAUAGCUUGCUGGACUCACCAGAUUGUGGGAUUUUAAAAUAUAAAUUUUAUUGUUGUUCAGGAACGAGGAGUCCAAUUGAUCAGGAGAUGAUUUUUGAUGAAAAGAUUUGACUGUUACAGUUCCCAAGAGAAGUGGGGAAUGGCUUACCAUAGCAGUGGGGAAGUACCAAUGUUGGUUAGAAGCAAAAGGAACUCGAGAAAAAUGUAGUUUAUUGUGGUUUGUGCUGGAAGAAAUAGGCAAGGAUUGGCUAGUUGAAUAAUUUCAAUGGCCUCUGGAUGUAGGAAUUGUCUCUAGUUGUCUAGUACUGGCCCUGGAGUGAUUAAGGCAGAGGAAUAGAGGCCUUAAGUGUGAGAGCCUGAUAGAGAAGUGGGCUCUGGAUUGAUUAGUUUGCAUAUGAAAAGUACUAAUACCCCUAGUCUUUACUAUCUCUAGGAAUUUGCUAAUCCUUGGAGGGGCAGUCGUCCAGGGUCAGAAAGGUUCCAAGAUGUCAAAGCAUUGA